rnacentral:rRNA from 1 species
UACGGGGGGAGCAAGCGUUGUUCGGAUUUACUGGGCGUAAAGGGCGCGUAGGCGGCCAGCACAAGUCAGUUGUGAAAUCUCCGGGCUUAACUCGGAAAGGUCAACUGAUACUGUGCGGCUAGAGUGCAGAAGGGGCAACUGGAAUUCUCGGUGUAGCGGUGAAAUGCGUAGAUAUCGAGAGGAACACCUGCGGCGAAGGCGGGUUGCUGGGCUGACACUGACGCUGAUGUGCGAAAGCCAGGGGAGCGAACGGG